rnacentral:tRNA from 1 species
UCCCUGGUGACUGAGUGGUAGAGAAUCUGCCUGCCAAUGCAGGAGAUACAGGUUUAAUCCCUGACCCGGGAU